UAGAUGAGUAUAAUGUUUUUGUUCCGAGA
rnacentral:piRNA from 1 species